CAGGUAUUGGAAAAAGCACGUU
rnacentral:miRNA from 14 species